CGCCAUUUCAAGCGAGGACAGUCGUAACAAUGGAUACAGCUCCUUUGCCAAAAGAGGCAUUACAUGAUAGUUCAAAAUUAUCAGAUUUUUAUAACUGCAAGAAGUUCCCGAAGAUGCUGUUAAUGUCCUAAAAGGGUAAAGGCAAAGCAAGUAUUUUAGCAUCAGGCUGUUAUUUGAAAAAAAAAAAAAAAAAAAAAAAAAAUCCAAAUUCUGCACUUCUAAUAUUUGCUAAAUGGAAUAGAAGACAUGGAAUCUCUUGGACCAGCUCAGAAUAAACAGCCCAUUAUAGUGUGUAUUACAAGUUCAUUCUAUAUUAAAGCAGUAAAUCACUUAAUAGCAUGCCCAAAUCAUGCCAUGAAGGCAUUUGACAUUCUAUUUAAAACUAAUUUUGUAUUUAGCGUUCAAUAUGCACAUACAUCAACAAAUUUUUAUAAUUUUGUGGCAAGCCUUUUGUAUAAUGUCAGCACUCCUAGAGCUUGUGUGGACUCUUUAAAUACAUGUUUUGAGUAUGAAUUUAUUGCAUUCUGUACAUGCAUUACAUUUCAUAUUUUUAAUGUCAUUUUAUUGUCAUAUUUUCCAUUUUUAUAUAUGUAUAUAUAUGUACAUAUAUUUCCU